UGACGCUGCAACAGGAUUCUUCU
rnacentral:sRNA from 1 species